UUUUGAGAGUUGUUUUGGUUAGAGUUUGUAAAUCUUUUUCUAUUAGUGAAAGUAAUAGAAAGUAAUAGUGAAAGUUCAAAAAAGAAGUAAUCUAUAUAUAUACUAUACUAAAAGGGGAAUACCCUCAAAUUCUAAGCUGUCCACGUCAGAUUAUUAAAUCAACCAAUAAGGGAAAUCAUUUCUGCCACGUCAUCUCUCCUUGGCCAAUUUUUUUAAAAAAAAUCUAAAAUCCUAAUACUCUAAAAUCGUCGAUCUACUAACUCUUCCAUUGAUAUUCAAUAGUCUUUUCAGUUUCAUCUUCUUCCAUCUCAGUUACCCAUCCUCCUCUGCAAUUAAUCCUUUGCUUUAAUUCCCUCUUAAUGAUUUCCUUUCACCUCCCUCUUUCUCAUUCUCCAUCAUCUCUUUCUUCUUUAGCUUACUACAAAUCGAAACUCCAAAACCUCCUCUCAGUAAUCUUAAGCCAUGGCGAUGAAACCCAACUGAAAGUCACCUGUUUUAACCGGAAAUUCUCCUCUCGAUUUGUAUUUCACAUCUCACCACGUCCAUCUCGAUCCUAAUUAUAAUUCCAAAUCAUACACUUCUAUGGGAGGCGAAAAGCGCAGCAAAAGGAGGGACCUUUAAUUGGACUGGAAAUGGUCAUCAUCGACAAACAGGCUAUUACGUAGCCGAAGUAAUCCUCUGCAAUCCAUGGCAAACCAAGCAUCUACAUCAUCGGUGUCAGUUUACAGCACAAAGAUGCUUAGUGUUAUACGUUUAUCAAGUCAUAUCUCAGGUAAGUUUUUCCCUUUUUUAUUUCCGUAGCUAUUUAAUUGUGUACGUUUACGGUAGCUCACUCCGGGACUUAAUUGGAGCAAGCGACGGAGAGUGUUUAGAGAGGGCAACUAAUUGUACAACAAGUUUUGAGGGAGCAACAAGCGAUGGAGAGAAUGAGGUGGAGCUUUUGUUUCUUGGUUUUGGUUUCUGGUCAGAGAAGCAAAGAUCAUUCUUAUUCAGGUCAUUUCUUUCUUUUAAAUGUUUCUCAGAUUUUGUUUAUGUAUCUGGUAUAGUGUUUCGAUUUAGAUUGUUAUCACUUGCCUUAAGUAUUGACAUGAUGCUCUAUCCGGACUCCGGAGUCAAGUAGAGUCAUGUUCUAUAUCGAUUUAUGUUGUCCUCAUCUGACUAUUGGAGUAUUACAAAAUGAUUACCAUACAGUAUGAAAGUAUCUCCAAUCAUUUGUCUUUUACAUCCAUGAAUACAUGAACUUUUUCAUGGAUAUUACUUCUAUCAAGCACAAAGAGAAGACUACUUCCAUCGAGCCAAGCCUUACAAGGACCAUCGUUCCAUUGCAAGAUGUGCUUCAAUGGUUUGAUAUGGGUUUCUAACACAUGAUUCAGAAGCUGACUAGGAAUUUUAGUGUAGCAAUACCGGUUAGCUUCUUUGAGAAGGUAAAUAAUUCUCAUUACAACUCAAUUGACAUUAUUGAAGCUGAUGGAACUGACCUCGGGGUUUUUAAGAAGUCACAUAUUCCUGACGGAGCAGAUGAGUCAAGUUUUGAGUUGGAAAUAGCUCGACCUUCUUUUGUUGAUACCUAUUGUUUACUUCAAAUUAUCAAGAGAAAUUUCAUUUCACCCCUGUUGACACUGGCUUUAAGGUAGUCUUUAGCAGCAGGAUCCCCAAACUAAAGUUCGGAUAAAUUGGAAUAGUGUCUUAUAUGUUCAGCUAUACGUUGGGAUCAAUGGCUACGGAGGCAACUCGAGGUAUGGUUCUACAUGAUGUUGAACUGUUUUAUCCCACUGCGCCACUGGCUCUGGACCUCAAGACCAUGGAUUAGGGUCGGGUGCUCACUGGAGGAGAGUCAUGCAAGGGCAUGCUGGAGCUAAUAUUUUGAACUAUUAGGUUUUGUAACUUCUAUUUUCAAAGUCUCUCAGUGUCCUCUUAUCGACUUGCUGUGUGUAUAACUUCUGACCGUAAGAUAUUUUGCAGUGACAUGA